UACGGAGGGUGCAAGCGUUAUCCGGAUUCACUGGGUUUAAAGGGCGCGUAGGCGGCCAGCACAAGUCAGUUGUGAAAUCUCCGGGCUUAACUCGGAAAGGUCAACUGAUACUGUGCGGCUAGAGUGCGGAAGGGGCAACUGGAAUUCUCGGUGUAGCGGUGAAAUGCGUAGAUAUCGAGAGGAACACCAGUGGCGAAGGCGAGUCCCUGGACAACUCCUGACACUGAGGCACGAAAGCUAGGGGAGCAAACAGG
rnacentral:rRNA from 1 species